AGACUGCACAGGUGCUUGGGCGGGAAAGCACCCACCAUGCGCCAGGUGCUGCUCUUUUCCUCCUCUCCAGAAGAACAAGCACCAUCUCAGCAAAUGCCACCAUCUCAGGUGGGGCUAAAAGUCAUGAAGGAAACAAAACAAGAGGACGUGGCAGAAAAGGUUGGGUGCAGGGCCUGGUUCAGGAAGGUCCCUACAGGUGACAUCUGUAGGGAUGUCACCAGGCACCAGCCAGAGGGAAGAAUUUCCCAGAAUGGAGCAUCAGAUAAAAUCAAUGUGGUUUUCAUGAUACAACAGCAAUUGUCCUGAAAGCAGAGAGGAAGACAAGGGCUAGAUCAUUAAAUCUGCCUUUGGGUAGGUCAGGCCCGUUCAUAGGUGGAGCAGCCUCAGUGAGUCUUUAGGGUUUUUUAGGUUUUCAUCAUGACACAGGGAGGGGGACACUGUCCACUGGGGUUGG
rnacentral:lncRNA from 1 species